CGAAGGCUUCGGCCUUAGUGGCGCACGGGUGCGUAACGCGUGGGAAUCUGCCCUCAGGUUCGGAAUAACAGCGAGAAAUUGCUGCUAAUACCGGAUGAUAUCGCGAGAUCAAAGAUUUAUCGCCUGAGGAUGAGCCCGCGUAGGAUUAGCUAGUUGGUGUGGUAAAGGCGCACCAAGGCGACGAUCCUUAGCUGGUCUGAGAGGAUGAUCAGCCACACUGGGACUGAGACACGGCCCAGACUCCUACGGGAGGCAGCAGUGGGGANNUAUUGGACAAUGGGCGAAAGCCUGAUCCAGCAAUGCCGCGUGAGUGAUGAAGGCCUUANGGUUGUAAAGCUCUUUUACCCGGGAUGAUAAUGACAGUACCGGGAGANUAAGCUCCGGCUAGCUCCGUGCCAGCAGCCGCGGUAAUACGGA
rnacentral:rRNA from 1 species